UAUUGGACUUGUAUUGGCAGCCUUUGUCAUUGUGGGUGUCGCUUGUGGUAUUGCUAUUGUCAUAUGGAGACGUCGUCAGAGACCAUUGGAAACCGGCGUACAAGAUGGCAUAAAUGACAUUGUAUCACAAGGAGCAGACAAUCACAACUCGCCACUGCCUGCCAGUGAUCACCAUCAUCCGAACGACAUUCCACUGCACAAAAUUGCCACAGCGGAGGUACGCGAGAGUGUUCCCAAUGAAGACAGCGUUGAGCCGGAGGCAUCAAACGACGUGGAGUACGGCAAUGUAGGAAAGGAACUCUCUUUCUCACGAUAUCUUCUGGUGAUCGAGAAUGAGCUGGGACGAGGGCAGUUCGGCAGAGUGCUUUUGGGAAAGGCACUUGGGAUCGAGGAAGUCGGAAAAGAAACGAAGGUUGCCGUUAAAACCG